rnacentral:rRNA from 1 species
AACGAACGCUGGCGGCAUGCCUAACACAUGCAAGUCGAACGAGACCUUCGGGUCUAGUGGCGCACGGGUGCGUAACGCGUGGGAACCUGCCCUUAGGUUCGGAACAACUCCCCGAAAGGGGUGCUAAUACCGGAUAAUGUCUUCGGACCAAAGAUUUAUCGCCUUUGGAUGGGCCCGCGUUGGAUUAGCUAGUUGGUAGGGUACAAGCCUACCAAGGCGACGAUCCAUAGCUGGUCUGAGAGGAUGAUCAGCCACAAUGGGACUGAGACACGGCCCAGACUCCUACGGGAGGCAGCAGUGGGGAAUAUUAGACAAUGGGCGAAAGCCUGAUCCAGCAAUGCCGCGUGAGUGAUGAAGGCCUUAGGGUUGUAAAGCUCUUUUACCCGAGAUGAUAAUGACAGUACCGGGAGAAUAAGCUCCGGCUAACUCCGUG